GAUGAACGCUGGCGGCGUGCCUAAUACAUGCAAGUCGAGCGAACAGACGAGGAGCUUGCUCCUCUGACGUUAGCGGCGGACGGGUGAGUAACACGUGGAUAACCUACCUAUAAGACUGGGAUAACUUCGGGAAACCGGAGCUAAUACCGGAUAAUAUAUUGAACCGCAUGGUUCAAUAGUGAAAGACGGUUUUGCUGUCACUUAUAGAUGGAUCCGCGUCGCAUUAGCUAGUUGGUAAGGUAACGGCUUACCAAGGCAACGAUGCGUAGCCGACCUGAGAGGGUGAUCGGCCACACUGGAACUGAGACACGGUCCAGACUCCUACGGGAGGCAGCAGUAGGGAAUCUUCCGCAAUGGGCGAAAGCCUGACGGAGCAACGCCGCGUGAGUGAUGAAGGUCUUCGGAUCGUAAAACUCUGUUAUUAGGGAAGAACAAAUGUGUAAGUAACUAUGCACGUCUUGACGGUACCUAAUCAGAAAGCCACGGCCAACUUCGUG
rnacentral:rRNA from 1 species